UACGUAGGGUGCAAGCGUUGUCCGGAAUUAUUGGGCGUAAAGCGUGCGUAGGCGGCUGCGCAAGUCGGUUGUGAAACCCCGGGGCUCAACCCCGGAACUGCAUCCGAUACUGCGUGGCUAGAGGUAGGUAGGGGAGAUCGGAAUUCCUGGUGUAGCGGUGAAAUGCGCAGAUAUCAGGAGAAACACCGGUGGCGAAGGCGGAUCUCUGGGCCUUACCUGACGCUCAGGCACGAAAGCUAGGGGAGCGAACAGG
rnacentral:rRNA from 1 species